UUAUUUAUUCACCUGUUUCUCAAUCAAUAGCUGUUUUCCCUCAUUCUCUCUUCUUUCCAAAAUCACUUCAAAGAAACCCUAAAACCAUUUGUCUGCGGUUCUGUCUUUUGGUUUACAUUAUUUGGAGUUCAAUCGAUUUUGAUAGGAGUAAUUUAAUGGUGACGAGCGAAACGGGAUCCAUAGUUUUUGAAGGGGUUUGCUUUGUGAGUGAUCGAAUCCUAUGAAAUUAGAGAGGGGACAUGAAGACAACCAAGGAGAAUUACCACCUAUCUCAGAUAAUGGGAUUAGGGUUUUUGUUGUUGCAGAUUGUUAGGGCUCAAAUUGGACAUGAGAGGUGGAGAUGGUUCUUUUGUUGAUAGAUCUGUAAGUUGAUUGAAAUUGUUAAUUUCUAACAUCCAUCUUCUUUCUCUCUGUACUGAGUUAUCAAUUUUAUCUUCUACCAAUUCAAGUUCAGGUUCUACAUCUCUAUAGAUUAUCAUUGAUUAUAUUGUUUUAUCCAUUUUAUCUACAAUGGUUCUACAUCUUUACAUGUGUUGAUGUAUUUUUUUUCUUUUCUUUGUUUGCCCUAAUUUGUCAUGUUGAUGUUUGUUAAUCUAUAUCUUUAUUUUACAACAAGAGAAGAAGUUGGAAUCUGCAAAAAUGAAGUGAAGUGAUUUAGAUCUUGUGGAUGAAAAUGAAUCUUUACACGAGGUUGGACCUGAAGCAAGUCACAUACUUGUGGAGCAUUAUGCUAUUACAUCUAGAAGACGGUAUAUUCAAUAACUGUAACCGGAUGCAUCUGUUUGAUGUCGUUAACCAAUAUUGUGCCAUAUUUGCUGAUAAUACAUCAGAAAGUAAAGAGAAUUAUGAUGGUGGACUUUCUUUCUGCUGGGCCAUGCAUCAGAUUGCCUCUCACCUUAAAACUCUCAAAGUUUUGCUUCCAAAGAUACUAAAGGCGGAUCAUUAUCCAAUAUAUUGGAUUAGUUCAUGUAUUGUGCUAUGGGGCUUCGUUGGGUUGAAUUGGAUUUUUAUGGCUUGCUUCCGCCUCUAUUUUAAGAGUUGCAUAUGGUAGAGUGCGUAUCAAAAGUCUGGCACGUUGUGAGGCUUACACACAUAAUCCACGACUUAAAAAAUGUUCCUCAUUGUAUAUAUGGUCUUAGCUCUUCUCAAAUGGACAUGUCAUGACAGAAGAUAACCCAAUAAGUUAGCAAGCAUAAAAAGUGCCACAUAGUUCUUCUUGAUUUGCAGCUUCUUUUAAUCAAAGUACUGGAAUUGUGGUUCUUAGUUGGUUAAUGUUUAUUAUUUACUUGUGUUAGUAUACUCUUUUUUGUAGGAAACGGUCACGUAAUUACUUGAAUCAUGCAGAAAUUUGGGGUUUACCUGAAUGAAUGAUAUGGGUCCUGUAAAAUACUAUUUUAAUUGUGAGCAUGUAUCGUGGUUGACGUAGAGCAACUAGAAGACCUAGAAGUGCUCCACCCGAUUUGCUACUGUUGAGUGAGAUAUCACUAUGAUGUGCCAGAUCGGAGACUUGCUCAACAUAUUGACAAAUGAAACGAAAACGUGUGGUUAAAAAUCAAAUAAGCUCUAGAAAAGGUGAAAGAUACCAUUUGCCUAUGAAUUAGCAAAAUGGUUAGGUGUCAGAACUCCACAAGUUACUAUACCUUCAACUUUCUUUUCACCAGAUUUAUGGUCCCCGCAAACAUCAUACAUUCUUAUUGUUUUGUAACUUUUGCAGGCUAGAGUCAUUCACAAUUGUAGUCCUGAGUGGUUAAAACACAAAUUGUCAUUAUUUGUGAAAUAAAAUAAAAACCAAACUGAGAGACCAUGCUACUUUUAUUAGUCAAAUUGUCAUUAUUUGUGUGAACGAGGCACCAUGGUAUUAUUAUUUUUAGGGCUAGCGAGCUGCUUAUUUGUUGGAUCGGUAGAAUUAGAAAGUGCUUAUUAUUCUUGGGUAAAUUGAUAAUUCUUAUUGUGGAUAUGGGUAAGAUCAUCAAUUCCAAUUACAGUCCAGCUGAUGCAAGGACCUUGGUUCAACAAGCAAGGAAUGAAGCUGGGUUAAAAGCACCCUUCUUGGAACUUGGCUAGGAAUUGCCAAGAUUAGUGACAGUUUCAACAAGUUUGGUGUUCAGAUUCGGGAUCUCUUUAGCAGGAAGCUAGGAGAAUGUUUUUUUUGGAAAGACAACUGGUUUGGUAACCCCUAUUUUAAGGAUCGUUUCCUCAACUUGUAUACCAUUAAAGCCAGUAAAAAUAUUGUUCGGUGUCACAAAGGAGAAGCACUGAUGUAUCAGGGAACAUUAGUCUCUCUUGGAACCGGCCUUGGAAACAUCUCAGUUUGGAUACCCCCUCGGAUAUAAAUGACUUGUCUGAAAUGGUGAAAAGUUGUGGUUCUUCCGAAGUUGAUGAAUGGCUAUAGUGUCUUGACCCAAAUAACAUGUUCUCGGUGAAAUCGGUUCAUGCGAUUCUUCAUAGUCAUGAUUCAGUUAUUCCUUAAACUUCAGACUUCUAUUGGUUAAAAUGGGUGCCUGUGAAAGCUCUUUGCUUCAACUGGAGGCUGCUCCUGAAUAGGAUUCCUGUCAGUCUUAAUUUGAGCAGGAGGGGUGUGUCGAAGGUCUCAAAUGUUGUUCUAGCUUUUAUGGCCAGUUUAGAAGUGGCAUCUUCAUUGAAAGGGUUCCGGUAUGUUCUAGCUUCUACCGGCUGCUGAUGUAAUAAAUUUGUGCUUUCUACUGAAAGGGGCCAGGUCCUUUAUGAGCUGUCUUUUUUUUUUUUUUUUGAAAAUCACUCUUGUGAAAGCCACUCUUGUGAAAGAAUAGGAGUCGAAAGCUGUGGUUGACGCUGACGUUAGCAAAAUUGACCAAAUGCUCAUUGAUGGCCAUACAAAAGUGGAUAGUUAGCAUAUGUUGUUUUUUUUUUAUUAUGAUGUAAAAUAUGAACUAGGGCUAACUGCAAGAAACAUAAACUAUGUACUUUCUCUUUAUUUUACAUGAAAAUUAA